UGCAGGAUCAAACCCAGGUAGCAUUCCUUAGAGACAUCGGGUCGUAAGACGCAUAACAUCUAAGCGACACCAAACGUCGUUCGAAAGGGGCGUGUAAUGCCAAUUUGUGGGCAAAUAGAGGUCGAGGACCCCGUACCCGUAACGUUUUCUGCAUCCCAAGGGUCUGUGAAUAUCAUGGGCCGAGAUUACAACGCAAUGCGCAUGCAAUUCGGAACACAAAUUCCACUUUGAGGUUCACCCGAAGCCGCACCGUGCAAACGGGCAACAGUGGGCGAACAUGCGGAUAAUGGGCCAACAAAUUCCAUCAAUGUAGGUAUGCAACACAGGAAACCAGCCGCACGGCCAAGGCUAAAGCAGCUCUUGUGCCAACGAUUGAAGAGGAACGCACGGGAGGACGUCGCUGCCCAAGCAGGGAUCCAA
rnacentral:misc_RNA from 1 species